GCGGAUAUGGCGGAAUUGGUAGACGCGCUAGUUUCAGGUACUAGUGGUAGAAAUACCUUGGAGGUUCAAGUCCUCUUAUCCGCACCA
rnacentral:tRNA from 1 species